rnacentral:rRNA from 1 species
GAUGAACGCUGACAGAAUGCUUAACACGUGCAAGUCAACUUGAAUUUGGGUUUUUAACUUAGGUUUGGGUGGCGGACGGGUGAGUAACGCGUAAAGAACUUGCCUCACAGCUAGGGACAACAUUUGGAAACGAAUGCUAAUACCUAAUAUUAUGAUAAUAGGGCAUCCUAUAAUUAUGAAAGCUAUAAGCGCUGUGAGAGAGCUUUGCGUCCCAUUAGCUAGUUGGAGAGGUAACGGCUCACCAAGGCGAUGAUGGGUAGCCGGCCUGAGAGGGUGAUCGGCCACAAGGGGACUGAGACACGGCCCUUACUCCUACGGGAGGCAGCAGUGGGGAAUAUUGGACAAUGGACCAAGAGUCUGAUCCAGCAAUUCUGUGUGCACGAUGAAGUUUUUCGGAAUGUAAAGUGCUUUCAGUUGGGAAGAAAGAAAUGACGGUACCAACAGAAGAAGUGACGGCUAAAUACGUG